UAGGGAAUUUCGUCAAUGGGGGCAACCCUGAACGAGCAAUGCCGCGUGAGCGAAGAAGGUCUUCGGAUUGUAAAGCUCUGUUGCCGGGAAAAGGAAGGAAAGAGGAAAUGCUUUUCUUUGGAUGGUACCCGGCCAGAAAGUCACGGCUAACUACGUGCC
rnacentral:rRNA from 1 species